rnacentral:rRNA from 1 species
AAUGACGGUACUUGAGGAGGAAGCCCCGGCUAACUACGUGCCAGCAGCCGCGGUAAUACGUAGGGGGCUAGCGUUAUCCGGAUUUACUGGGCGUAAAGGGUGCGUAGGCGGUCUUUCAAGUCAGGAGGGAAAGGCUACGGCUCAACCGUAGUAAGCUCUUGAAACUGGGAGACUUGAGUGCAGGAGAGGAGAGUGGAAUUCCUAGUGUAGCGGUGAAAUGCGUAGAUAUUAGGAGGAACACCAGUUGCGAAGGCGGCUCUCUGGACUGUAACUGACGCUGAGGCACGAAAGCGUGGGGAGCAAACAGGAUUAGAUACCCUG